rnacentral:lncRNA from 1 species
CUCUAUAACAUAGAUGGGGGUGUAAGAGAUGUUAAAUUAUUCAUGACAACUAUUGACAAACUCCAAAUAACAAGCAGCUUUGUGAAAAUUGGAAAACUACAAACGACAGUCAUUGACAUAAAAUCUCAGUAGUUGGUAGUACAUUUAUGGAUACAGGAGAUCUUAAAAAGUACACAACAACAAAUGUCUAAGGUUGAUGAAACGCAAACAGAGGAAAACGGAAAAAAAUGAAAUCACACAAACGAUAAGUUCCACGGAGACCCUUCGCCAAGGGGGAUCUAUUAUGUUGCCUAUCACGCAGUCCUCAUUGUGGUCCUCCUUGCCUGUACUGAUGCUAGUUCCACUCCAACCAAUCAAUCUUCUCGUUCCCAUCGUACUGCAUCUCCAGAAUCUCCUUCUUCCACUUUAAGAUAGAAACGUGCACAUCCAAAAGUAGAGGUCUGUUUUUUUGGCAAUCUGCCCGGCGAACAACUCCUUCAUGCAUGUCUUCAUGCCCAGAACAUCAGAUCCGACUAAGUUGUCAAGUUUCAUCGAAACUUUCUCACUUGCAGUAGUGGCUCUGUCAACCGAGUAAGACAAUUCUUUAGUUGAUAUUUUAGUUCUCUUCCCCUUUCUGUUACUGCCGCUGGAUCUACGUUUCUCACUGCUCCUACGGGCGGAGAUGUCCAUGCUUGAUUCGGGCCAUGUCGAACUUAUAGCCCUCAUCAGUGGAGCCGCUGCUCUCCUCGUACAUCGGCGUUGCGUCGCGUGUGUCGUCAUUGGCACUGUCUUCGAACAUGGCGAACCCCGUCCUGCACAGCUUUAUCGACGUCGUCGCGUACUUCUCAUUGUCGUACACAUUGUCGAACAGAACUCGGUAGGCGUAUAUCUCUCUACAGUCUUUGUCUUUGAACUCUCUGUACUCUUUGUUCUCCUGUUCGGAAUGGAAGAAAAAUAAAUGCAGAAGGAGUCAGGAGUCGGGGUACAAAAUGAAAGUUAGGAAUCAAGCAAUUGAAUUUUAUGACAUAUGCUGGAACACAAUUUUUUGAAUACGAAGGUUAUGCAAUUAUUUGGAAAGUGGCAAUUCCAACAGCUUUGUACCUUCAUUUUUUGUGCCCACCACUCGUCGGACGCGACUAGGCGGCCGCGUGUAGUGUUAGUAUGCGAUGCUGGUGCAGUCUAUCAAGUCCUGGAUACGUUUAUACUUGACUUGAAGAUAAUCCCAGUGAUUCUUCAACUGCUGCCUACUCCAAUCAUGCCCGGAGUUGGCGUUGAAAAAUUGGACAAUCACAUGCCAGCCAUGUUUCGUGAAGCACUUCCCGUUAUGGUGCCCGUAGGCUAUUAUGAUCUUACAGGCCACCAUGAAGACUCGAUUAUCCACUGGCGUCCACUGUGCAGUCCUCCUCCUAGGGGCUGGGGACGAGAUUGCUGGAGGGUUGGAAGUGGAGGUCGGGUGGAUGCCGAUCUGUGUCUGCGAACGAAAAUGAAAUAGAAGUGAGAUGCGCAGUUUUCUUACAUGUAAACGAAUAAAUCUUAACUGCAAAGUAGUACAUGGAAAUAUACAAAACAUAAAUGCUCCCUCGUUCGACAACCGGAACGACAAACGUAAUCUGCUGAACAACUCAGUCACGAAAUGAGAUUUGCAAAAAAUAACUCACGAAAUUUCGGGUCUUAUUUUUCCCCGGGCGUUCGAAAAUUCGAUUGUCAGAGCUUGCCCCAACAAAAUGGCAGUACAUACAUAUAAUAUAUAUGGAUCGGAGUACAUUUAUGGAGAGAGAACAAUUUGCAAUUUCACAGCAUCACCGAUUUCCCAUAUAGUAGUAAGUCAUGGCUGCAGAAUGUUGCACUCAAAACUUAAUUUUACAUAAUGGGUUUGCGAUUCAAGGAGAGAACCAAAGAACGGCAGAAAAAUUUCCCAACUUUUUCAGGCGAACGUGAAGCAACUAUGCAACUAAAUUAUGGAAACACGAUUUUAGAUUUCAACCACAAGAUAGUUUCUGUAAAGAAUUUGUAUACCACCUACCCUAACCCUUGAUGACUAAUAAUUGGAAAAAAUAAUAGCAUUUUCCCUUUUCCAAUUUCUAUAUCCCAAAAUUUUAGAGUUGCCCAGAAUUUUCAUGAGAAGUCGUCG